rnacentral:rRNA from 1 species
UACGUAGGGGGCAAGCGUUGUCCGGAUUUAUUGGGCGUAAAGAGCGUGUAGGCGGCUAGAUAGGUCCGUUGUGAAAACUCGAGGCUCAACCUCGAGACGUCGAUGGAAACCAUCUGGCUAGAGUCCGGAAGAGGAGAGUGGAAUUCCUGGUGUAGCGGUGAAAUGCGCAGAUAUCAGGAAGAACACCCGUGGCGAAGGCGGCUCUCUGGUCCGUGACUGACGCUAAGACGCGAAAGCGUGGGGAGCGAACAGG